GAGAUAACUCCUACGGGAGGCAGCAGUGAGGAAUAUUGGACAAUGGGUUAGCGCCUGAUCCAGCCAUCCCGCGUGAAGGACGACGGCCCUAUGGGUUGUAAACUUCUUUUGUAUAGGGAUAAACCUACUCUCGUGAGAGUAGCUGAAGGUACUAUACGAAUAAGCACCGGCUAACUCCGUGCCAGCAGCCGCGGUAAUACGGAGGGUGCAAGCGUUAUCCGGAUUUAUUGGGUUUAAAGGGUCCGUAGGCGGAUCUGUAAGUCAGUGGUGAAAUCUCACAGCUUAACUGUGAAACUGCCAUUGAUACUGCAGGUCUUGAGUAAAUUUGAAGUGGCUGGAAUAAGUAGUGUAGCGGUGAAAUGCAUAGAUAUUACUUAGAACACCAAUUGCGAAGGCAGGUCACUAAGAUUUAACUGACGCUGAUGGACGAAAGCGUGGGGAGCGAACAGGAUUAGAAACCCUAGUAGUCCUCCACU
rnacentral:rRNA from 1 species